rnacentral:rRNA from 1 species
GUAGCUGGGGAAAGGCGCGUUAGCGCCGUCCUGAGAUGAGCCUGCGGCUGAUUAGCUAGUUGGUGGGGUAAGAGCCUACCAAGGCGACGAUCAGUAGGGCGGCCUGAGAGGGUGAACGGCCACACUGGGACUGAGACACGGCCCAGACUUCUACGGAAGGCAGCAGCUAAGAAUCUUCCGCAAUGGUCGAAAGACUGACGGAGCGACGCCGCGUGGGUGAAGAAGGCCGUGAGGUUGUAAAGCCCUUUUCUUGCUGAAGAAUAAUGUGGGGAGGCAAUGCCCCGCGGAUGACGUUAGGCAAGGAAUAAGCCCCGGCCAAUUACGUGCCAGCAGCCGCGGUAACACGUAUGGGGCGAGCGUUGAUCGGAAUUAUUGGGCGUAAAGGGCGCGUAGGCGGUACGGCAAGCCUGGUGUGAAAGGCCACAGCUUAACUGUGGUUACGCGCUGGGAACUGUCGUACUAGAGUUCAGGAGGGGAAGCUGGAAUUCCUGGUGUAGGGGUGAAAUCUGUAGAUAU